AGGGAUCUUUAUCUAGCUCCAAGCUAAUCGAAGUAGGAAAAGAAAAACAGACAAAUGAUACCAAUUUGUCAGCACAAAUCACUAACUUUCGGUUAAUAAGAUAUAUGUAAGCAUCAGCAGCUGAUAUUAAACACCAGCACUGCCAUCUUGGCAAGAUAGUUGUCUUUAUGUUGAUCAUUUGCAGACCAUGCAUUAUGUUACUUGGACCCAGUUACCAAGUUUCAGGUGUGCCUAUACGUCCAAAACAUUCACAGAUUUUUCCUCUAAUUGUUGAAGUUUCAAAGUGUCAUGAAUCAGAAGUAAAAUUUUGGCAAUAGUAAACAUUACACAAUUUAAUCCACAUCUCAUAAUUAUUGGGGAAGAGAGCAGGAGAGAACAAUCUAUUCACUAAAGGGCAUCUAUACAUAUAUUUACAAAGCGGAACACAACCAUAAGAGUUUGGGGAACCACUCACAACGUCUUUAGCUUGAAGUGUAAUACCCCUAAUUUUCAAAUAAUUAUU
rnacentral:misc_RNA from 1 species